GAGAAUAGAGAAAAGAGAGAAUGUGGA
rnacentral:sRNA from 1 species